rnacentral:rRNA from 1 species
GAGUAACGCGUAUCCAACCUGCCCACCACUUGGCCAUAACCUUGCGAAAGUAAGACUAAUACCCAAUGAUAUCUCUAGAAGACAUCUGAAAGAGAUUAAAGAUUUAUCGGUGAUGGAUGGGGAUGCGUCUGAUUAGCUUGUUGGCGGGGUAACGGCCCACCAAGGCAACGAUCAGUAGGGGUUCUGAGAGGAAGGUCCCCCACAUUGGAACUGAGACACGGUCCAAACUCCUACGGGAGGCAGCAGUGAGGAAUAUUGGUCAAUGGACGAGAGUCUGAACCAGCCAAGUAGCGUGCAGGAAGACGGCCCUAUGGGUUGUAAACUGCUUUUAUAAGGGAAUAAAGUGAGAGUCGUGACUCUUUUCGCAUGUACCUUAUGAAUAAGGACCGGCUAAUUCCGUGCCAGCAGCCGCGGUAAUACGGAAGGUCCGGGCGUUAUCCGGAUUUAUUGGGUUUAAAGGGAGCGUAGGCCGGAGAUUAAGCGUGUUGUGAAAUGUAGAUGCUCAACAUCUGAACUGCAGCGCGAACUGGUUUCCUUGAGUACGCACAAAGUGGGCGGAAUUCGUGGUGUAGCGGUGAAAUGCUUAGAUAUCACGAAGAACUCCGAUUGCGAAGGCAGCUCACUGGAGCGCAACUGACGCUGAAGCUCGAAAGUGCGGGUAUCGAACAGGAUUAGAUACCCUGGUAGUCCGCACGGUAAACGAUGGAUGCCCGCUGUUGGUCUGAAUAG